rnacentral:rRNA from 1 species
CCCUUCCCAUUCCGAACAGGGUAGUUAAGCCCGAUAGCGCCGAUGGUACUGCCACACCAGGUGGGAGAGUAGGUCGCCGCCUCCU